rnacentral:rRNA from 1 species
GGACUACAGGGGUUUCUAAUCCUGUUUGCUCCCCACGCUUUCGCACCUCAGCGUCAAUAUUGGCCCAGGUCGCCGCCUUCGCCACUGGUGUUCCUCCCGAUAUCUACGAAUUUCACCUCUACACCGGGAAUUCCGCGACCCUCUUCCAUAUUCAAGCCGGUCAGUUUCGAGUGCACUUCCUGGGUUGAGCCCAGGGCUUUCACACCCGACUUAAUCGGCCGCCUACGUGCGCUUUACGCCCAAUGAUUCCGAGCAACGUUUGCACCCUCCGUAUUACCGCGGCUGCUGGCAC